rnacentral:tRNA from 1 species
GGAGAGGUGGCCGAGCGGCUGAAGGCGCCGGUCUUGAAAACCGGUGUGGGUCACUCCACCGUGGGUUCGAAUCCCACCCUCUCCG